UACAGAGGCCCCAAGCGUUACUGAGAAUCACUGGGUUUAAAGGGUGCGUAGGUGGUCCGUUAAGUUCGUUGUGAAAUCCCUGGGCUCAACCCAGGAAAUGCUUCGAAUACUGGCGGACUUGAGGCUAGUAGAGGUCACUGGAACUGACGGUGGAGCGGUGAAAUGCGUAGAUAUCGUCAGGAACGCCGGUGGUGAAGACGGGUGACUGGGCUAGUUCUGACACUGAGGCACGAAAGCGUGGGGAUCAAACA
rnacentral:rRNA from 1 species